GGCCAUGCGGCAGCUUACCAUGCAAGUCGAACGGCAGCACGGGUGCUUGCACCUGGUGGCGAGUGGCGAACGGGUGAGUAAUACAUCGGAACAUGUCCUGUAGUGGGGGAUAGCCCGGCGAAAGCCGGAUUAAUACCGCAUACGAUCUAUGGAUGAAAGCGGGGGACCUUCGGGCCUCGCGCUAUAGGGUUGGCCGAUGGCUGAUUAGCUAGUUGGUGGGGUAAAGGSCUACCAAGGAUUCGACAGUAUCAGUAGCUUGGUUCUGAGAGGACGACCAGCCAGGCAGACUGGRACUGAGAMAGCGGYCCAGACUCCUACGGGAGGUCAGCAGUGGGGAAUUUUGGACAAUGGGCGAAWGCCUGAUYCAGCAAUGCCGCGUGUGUGUGAAGAAGGCSUUCCGGRUWGUAAAAGCACUUUGUGUCACGGAAAAGAAAUCCUUGGGCUACUGAUAUACAGUCGGGGGAUGACGGUAMCGGAAGAAUAAAGCACCRGCUAACUACGUGCCAGCAGCCGCGGUGAAUACGUAGGKUGCAAGCGUUAAUCGGAAUUACUGGGCGUAAAGCGUGCGCAGGCGGUUUGCUAAGACCGAUGUGAAAUCYCCGGGCUCAACCUGGGAACUGCAUUGGUGACUGGCAGGCUAGAGUAUGGCAGAGGGGGGUAGAAYUCCACGUGUAGCAGUGAARUGCGUAGAGAUGUGGGAGGAAUACCGAUGGCRAAGGCMSCCCCCUGSGCCAAUACUGACKCUCAUGCACGAAAAGCGUGGGGASCAARCRGGAUUAKAYACCCGUGGGUASUCCACGCCCUAAACGAUGUCAACUAGUUGUUGGGGGAUGUCAUUUCCUUUASUAACGUASCUAACGCGUGAAGUUGACCCGCCUGGGGGAGUACGGUCGCAAGAUYAAAAGCUCAWAGGAAUUGRMSGGGACCCGCACAAGCGGUGGAUGAUGUGGAUUAAUUCGAUGCAACGCGAAAAACCUUACCUACCCUUGACAUGGUCGGAAUCCUGAAGAGAUUCGGGAGUGCUCGAAAGAGAACCGGCGCACAGGUGCUGCAUGGCUGUCGUCAGCUCGUGUCGUGAGAUGUUGGGUUAAGUCCCGCAACGAGCGCAACCCUUGUCCUUAGUUGCUACGCAAGAGCACUCUAAGGAGACUGCCGGUGACAAACCGGAGGAAGGUGGGGAUGACGUCAAGUCCUCAUGGCCCUUAUGGGUAGGGCUUCACACGUCAUACAAUGGUCGGAACAGAGGGUUGCCAACCCGCGAGGGGGAGCUAAUCCCAGAAAACCGAUUGUAGUCCGGAUUGCACUUUGCAACUCGAGUGCAUGAAGCUGGAAUCGCUCGUAAUCCGGGAUCCGCCUGCCGCGGUGCAUACGUUCCCGGGUCUUGUCCCCACCGCCCGUCACACCAUGGGAGCGGGUUUUACCAGAAGUGGCUCUCUAACCGCAAGGAGGACGUCACCCCCGAAGAUCCCAAGGUU
rnacentral:rRNA from 2 species